rnacentral:miRNA from 1 species
CUUGGAAGGUGAGGCCUCCUAAUCAUGCUUGAGAGUGAGCCGCUCAAAGAGAUACUCGCCCAGAGAUGGCUGGGGCACGCCAGUCUGCGUUGGCUGGGGGCCAGCCACCCU